AAAAAAUUUUACAAAGAGACUGGGUCUUGCUCUAUGCAAGCUGCAGUGCAGUGGUGCAAUCAUAGCUCACUGCGGCCUUGAACUCCUGGGCUCAAAGAGUCCUCCCACCUCAGCUUCCCUAGUAGCUGGGACUACAGGUGUGCACCUCCAUGCCUGGCUAAUUUCAAAAGAAAAUUUCUUGUCAACACUGGAUCUUUCUAUGUUGCUCAUGAGAUUAUAAGCAUGAGCCACUGCCCUGUGGGCCCAGAUGUGCUUAGGGGAAAGUACUUUGU
rnacentral:lncRNA from 1 species